rnacentral:rRNA from 1 species
GUAGGUGGCAAGCGUUGUCCGGAAUUAUUGGGCGUAAAGCGCGCGCAGGCGGUUCUUUAAGUCUGAUGUGAAAGCCCACGGCUCAACCGUGGAGGGUCAUUGGAAACUGGAGAACUUGAGUACAGAAGAGGAAAGCGGAAUUCCACGUGUAGCGGUGAAAUGCGUAGAGAUGUGGAGGAACACCAGUGGCGAAGGCGGCUUUCUGGUCUGUAACUGACGCUGAGGCGCGAAAGCGUGGGGAGCAAACAGGGAUUAGAUACCCUGGUAGUCCACGCCGUAAACGAUGAGUGCUAAGUGUUAGGGGGGUUUCCGCCCCCUUAGUGCUGCGGCUAACGCAUUAAGCACUCCGCCUGGGGAUACGGCCGCAAGGCUG